rnacentral:rRNA from 1 species
AGCAGCCGCGGUAAUUCCAGCUCCAAUAGCGUAUAUUAAAGUUGUUGCAGUUAAAAAGCUCGUAGUUGAAUUUCGGAGUUUAUCGGUUGGUCGGGCUUCACUGUCCGCACUGACCUGAUGGAUUCCUACCUUCUGAAUAACCAGCAUGCUAUUAAAUUAGUGCGUUGGGGAAGCAGAGCUAUUACCUUGAAAAAAUUAGAGUGCUUAAAGCAGGCUUAUGCUUGAAUAGAUUAGCAUGGAAUAAUAAAAUAGGACGGCAUGGUUCUAUUUUGUUGGUUUCUAGGAUCACCGUAAUGAUUAAUAGGGAUAGUUGGGGGCACUAGUAUUCAAUUGUCAGAGGUGAAAUUCUUGGAUUUAUUGAAGACUAACUUCUGCGAAAGCAUUUGCCAAGGAUGUUUUCAUUAAUCAAGAACGAAAGUUAGGGGAUCGAAGACGAUCAGAUACCGUCGUAGUCUUAACCAUAAACUAUGCCGACUAGGGAUCGGACGAUGUUAAUUUUUAAUGACUCGUUCGGCGUCCG